GUGAGGAAUAUUGGUCAAUGGGCGAGAGCCUGAACCAGCCAAGUCGCGUGAAGGAAGAAGGAUCUAUGGUUCGUAAACUUCUUUUGCAGGGGAAUAAAGUGCGGGACGUGUCCUGUUUUGUAUGUACCCUGAGAAUAAGGAUCGGCUAACUCCGUGCCAGCAGCCGCGGUAAUACGGAGGAUCCGAGCGUUAACCGGAUUUAUUGGGUUUAAAGGGUGCGUAGGUGGUUUGAUAAGUCAGCGGUGAAAGUUUGCAGCUUAACUGUAAAAAUGCCGUUGAAACUGUCGGACUUGAGUGUAAAUGAGGUAGGCGGAAUGCGUGGUGUAGCGGUGAAAUGCAUAGAUAUCACGCAGAACUCCGAUUGCGAAGGCAGCUUACUAAGCUACAACUGACACUGAAGCACGAAAGCGUGGGGAUCAAACAGGAUUAGAAACCCCAGUAGUCC
rnacentral:rRNA from 1 species